rnacentral:rRNA from 1 species
AUUGAACGCUGGCGGCAUGCUUUACACAUGCAAGUCGAACGGCAGCACGGGGGCAACCCUGGUGGCGAGUGGCGAACGGGUGAGUAAUGCAUCGGAACGUACCCGGGAGUGGGGGAUAACGUAGCGAAAGUUACGCUAAUACCGCAUAUUCUGUGAGCAGGAAAGUGGGGGACCGUAAGGCCUCACGCUUCUGGAGCGGCCGGUGUCGGAUUAGCUAGUUGGUGGGGUAAAGGCUUACCAAGGCGACGAUCCGUAGCGGGUCUGAGAGGAUGAUCCGCCACACUGGGACUGAGACACGGCCCAGACUCCUACGGGAGGCAGCAGUGGGGAAUUUUGGACAAUGGGCGCAAGCCUGAUCCAGCCAUGCCGCGUGAGUGAAGAAGGCCUUCGGGUUGUAAAGCUCUUUUGUUGGGGAAGAAAUGCUCUGGGUUAAUACCCUGGGGUGAUGACGGUACCCAAAGAAUAAGCACCGGCUAACUACGUGCCAGCCGCCGCCGUAA